rnacentral:rRNA from 1 species
UUAAAUUGAAGAGUUUGAUCAUGGCUCAGAUUGAACGCUGGCGGCAGGCCUAACACAUGCAAGUCGAACGGUGAUGAAA